rnacentral:snRNA from 1 species
GGUUUUAUUUUAUUUUAUUUUUUUAUGACAGCACACAUACUGGAAUAAUAUAGUAUAGAUUGCUCUGGCACCUGAGCAAAGAUUGCAGGCAAAUUAGUGAACUGUCCCUUUUUUUUUU